UGACGUUACNUACAGAAGAAGCACCGGCUAACUCCGUGCCAGCAGCCGCGGUAAUACGGAGGGUCCAAGCGUUAAUCGGAAUUACUGGGCGUAAAGCGCGCGCAGGCGGUUUGUUAAGUGRGAUGUGAAAUCCCCGGGCUCAACCUGGGAAUUGCAUUUUAAACUGGCAAACUAGAGUCUUGUAGAGGGGGGUAGAAUUUCAGGUGUAGCGGUGAAAUGCGUAGAGAUCUGAAGGAAUACCGGUGGCGAAGGCGGCCCCCUGGACAAAGACUGACGCUCAUGCACGAAAGCGUGGGGAGCAAACCAGGAUUAAGAUACCCCUGGUAUGUCCCACGCC
rnacentral:rRNA from 1 species